rnacentral:rRNA from 1 species
UACGUAGGGGGCAAGCGUUGUCCGGAAUCAUUGGGCGUAAAGCGCGCGUAGGCGGCCCGAUAAGUCUGCUGUGAAAGUCCAGGGCUCAACCCUGGAAUGCCGGUGGAUACUGUCGGGCUAGAGUUCGGAAGAGGCAAGUGGAAUUCCUGGUGUAGCGGUGAAAUGCGCAGAUAUCAGGAGGAACACCAAUUGCGAAGGCAGCUCGCUGGGACGUUACUGACGCUGAGACGCGAAAGCGUGGGGAGCAAACAGG